UGGGGAAUAUUGGACAAUGGGCGAAAGCCUGAUCCAGCCAUGCCGCGUGUGUGAAGAAGGUCUUCGGAUUGUAAAGCACUUUAAGUUGGGAGGAAGGGCAGUUACCUAAUACGUGAUUGUUUUGACGUUACCGACAGAAUAAGCACCGGCUAACUCUGUGCCAGCAGCCGCGGUAAUACAGAGGGUGCAAGCGUUAAUCGGAAUUACUGGGCGUAAAGCGCGCGUAGGUGGUUAGUUAAGUUGGAUGUGAAAUCCCCGGGCUCAACCUGGGAACUGCACUCAAAACUGACUGACUAGAGUAUGGUAGAGGGUGGUGGAAUUUCCUGUGUAGCGGUGAAAUGCGUAGAUAUAGGAAGGAACACCAGUGGCGAAGGCGACCACCUGGACUGAUACUGACACUGAGGUGCGAAAGCGUGGGGAGCAAACAGGAUUAGAUACCCAAGUAGUCCCUGAGCGGGCUGGCAAGGCGCAU
rnacentral:rRNA from 1 species